rnacentral:misc_RNA from 1 species
CCCAGCCAAUCAAAUACUCGAAACACAAGAACAACAAGAGAGUGGCUCUGACCAUAGCUGUUGUUUGGAUAGUGUCGGCUGCCAUUGGUUCCCCUAUAGUGUUAGGCUUAAACACAACUCCCGAGAGGAUUCCACAACUCUGUAUAUUUUAUAACUCUGAUUUCAUUAUUUAUUCUUCACUCAGCUCAUUUUAUAUUCCCUGUCUUGUUAUGAUAUUUCUCUAUUACAAGAUAUUUAAAGCCAUCCAUGAAAGAGCCAAGAAAAGCAUAGGCAAGAGACUUCCCACAUCUACCGAUACCAAACCGGGCAUUGUUAUCGAAAAUGCUUCACAAACACAGUGGCAACAAGAGACAGCCCUUAUCUCUUCUUCAACCUCAGAAGUCGCGUAUCAGAACAAACUGAAACUUCUGCAGGUCGUCCAAACGGACGAUGUCACCAACACCGGAAGCGGAAGUCAAUACGAUGAAGACUAUGAGGAAGACACUAAAGGUGGUGACAAUGAUGAUGGCGAAAAUGAGAAUGAUGAUCGCUGUCAGAUUAUCGAAAAUAAGAAAACAACUGACUUUAUUUUGAGUGACGUGUCCAAGACAGUCGAAGAAAAUACAGAGAAAAACGGAAAUGCAGAUUCCAAGGUAAAGGAAACGGAGUUUUGUAUCCAGAACCCACUCACCAGGACUUUAAAGGAGUCCAGAACGACAACGUCUUCUGCUUUCUCUCCCAAAAACGGAAGAGAAAAUAAAAUUCUGUCUUUAGCUUCUGGUAGUAAUAGCGGUAAUCACUCGAUGGCUUACUUGAACGUGCCAAAGAAGAAAUCAAGAUUUAAUCUUGGACGGAAGCAUAAAAGCAGUCGUAAAAAACGAGAAAAGGCUUACGCAAAAAGAGAACGAAAAGCCACAAAGACCCUAGCUAUAGUAUUAGGUGUCUUUUUAAUCUGCUGGGUACCGUUCUUCACGUGUAACAUCAUGGACGCCAUCUGCAUCAAGCUACACAGCGCCGACUGUCGGCCUGGUGUAACAGUUUUCCUCCUUACUACCUGGCUGGGCUACAUCAACAGUUGUGUUAAUCCAGUCAUCUACACCAUAUACAACACCGAGUUCCGGAGAUCGUUCAAAAAAAUUUUGAUAGAACCUUGUAAAUGAGGUAGAUUCGACAAGUUCGACGCAACUAUUGACGUCAUAUUGAGUAUUAGAAACGUAUUAUAAAAAUCAACCCCUGUCGGUACAAUAUUGAACUCUUAUUAGAUCCUCUCCGGUGGUUUUUUGUAAAUGUUAUUUGUCUCUUUACAGUUACGAGUUAAAAACGUUGAGUUUCAGCGUAUUUUUUUACCAUUAGCUUUAAGUCCAAAACCUUUCUAGUGCUAUUUAUUUCGAAACGAUUUUUUCGGUCGGCCGUAUUGUGUGGGCUGUUUCUUGACGAAAUGAUGUUGCCUGGAUGAAAUUAAAUACUCGAGUUAGAAGUUAUAAAUAAAUCUAUGACAAUACUAGGUGACUACUAUAAACACGGGUUAUUUAGUAAGAGACGCUUUAAUCUUGAAUGGUUGGGAGUGGUCACACUGUGAAGUUAGGGGUAAGAGACGCUUUAAUUAUGAGUGGUUGGGAGUGGUCACACUGUGAAGUUAGGGGUAAGAAAAGAUUAAAGCGUUAACUUCACAGUGUGACCACUCCCAACCAUUCGGGAACAUCAGACACGAGGAGUAGUUCGUUAAAGUAUACUUAUAUUUCGACCUUUAGCCGGUCAGUGGUCAGUACCUAUUUAUUUGUACAUAAUUUCAAACAUAUCGUAAGUAAAUCAUUUGAUCUUCCAGUGACGAAAUGUCUAGAUCAGUGUUUCUCAACAGGGGUGCCGCGAGAUUUUAGCAAAAUAUUGUAAAAAAAAACAAACAAACAAAUCAAUUACAACGUCACAUAUUUGAAACGUUUUUAUGUAUCUGAUUUUUCUUUUCUACAUCUAUUCGUCUCUAUGACCUUCCUCCCACCUCUUGGCUACGUCACUGUUAACUAGGCUAUAAUACGUUUAGUGUGCCGUGGAAAUGUUCACAGGAGCAGAUCAAAAGUAAUGUUCACAGGAGUGCAGAUCAAAAGUAACGUUCACAGGGGUGCAGGUCAAAAGUAACGUUCACAAGAGUGCAGAUCAAAAGCAACGUUCACAGGAGUGCAGGUCAAAAGUAACGUUCACAGAAGUGCAGGUCAAAAGUAACGUUCACAGGAGUGCAGGUCAAAAAUAACGUUCACAGGAGGGCCGAUCAAAAGUAACGUUGACAGGAGUGCCGAUCAAAAGCAACGUUCACAGUAGUGCAGGUCAAAAGUAACGUUCACAGUAGUGCAGAUCAAAAGUAACGUUCACAGGAGGGCCGAUCAAAAGUAACGUUCACAGUAGUGCAGGUCAAAAGCAACGUUCACAGGAGUGCACGUCAAAAAUAACGUUCACAGAAGUGCACGUCAAAAGUAACGUUCACAGGAGUGCGGUUAAAAUUUUUAUAAUC